rnacentral:misc_RNA from 1 species
GAUGAAGAACGUAGCGAAAUGCGAUAAGUAAUGUGAAUUGCAGAAUUCAGUGAAUCAUCGAAUCUUUGAACGCACAUUGCGCCCCUUGGUAUUCCGAGGGGCAUGCCUGUUCGAGCGUCAUUAUAACCCCUCAAGCUCAGCUUGGUGUUGGGGCCUGCUGCACUGGCAGCCCUUAAAAUCAGUGGCGGCGCCAUCUGGCUCUAAGCGUAAUAAUUCUUCUCGCUAUGGAGUCCUGGUGGAUGCUUGCCAUCAACCCCCAAUUUUUCUAUGGUUGACCUCGGAUCAGGUAGGGAUACCCGCUGAACUUAAGCAUAUCAAUAAGCGGAGGA